rnacentral:rRNA from 1 species
UACGUAGGGUGCGAGCGUUACUCGGAAUUACUGGGCGUAAAGAGUGCGUAGGCGGUCCCGCAAGUCCGCUGUGAAAGCCCCGGGCUUAACCUGGGAAUGGCAGUGGAAACUAUGGGACUUGAAUCUGGCAGAGGGGGGUGGAAUGCCACGUGUAGCAGUGAAAUGCGUAGAGAUGUGGCGGAACACCGAUGGCGAAGGCAGCCCCCUGGGCUGAGAUUGACGCUCAGGCACGAAAGCGUGGGGAGCAAACAGG